UACGAAGGGGGCUAGCGUUGCUCGGAAUCACUGGGCGUAAAGCGCACGUAGGCGGGUCUUUAAGUCAGGGGUGAAAUCCUGGAGCUCAACUCCAGAACUGCCUUUGAUACUGAAGAUCUUGAGUUCGGGAGAGGUGAGUGGAACUGCGAGUGUAGAGGUGAAAUUCGUAGAUAUUCGGAAGAACACCAGUGGCGAAGGCGACUUACUGGACACAUAUUGACGCUGAGGUGCGAAAGCGUGGGGAGCAAACAGG
rnacentral:rRNA from 1 species